GGUCAAGUGAAGAAGCGCAUACGGUGGAUGCCUUGGCAGUCAGAGGCGAUGAAAGACGUGGUAGCCUGCGAAAAGCUUCGGGGAGUCGGCAAACAGACUUUGAUCCGGAGAUGUCUGAAUGGGGGAACCCAGCCAUCAUAAGAUGGUUAUCUUGUACUGAAUACAUAGGUGCAAGAGGCGAACCAGGGGAACUGAAACAUCUAAGUACCCUGAGGAAAAGAAAUCAACCGAGAUUCCCUUAGUAGUGGCGAGCGAACGGGGACUAGCCCUUAAGUGGCUUUGAGAUUAGCGGAACGCUCUGGAAAGUGCGGCCAUAGUGGGUGAUAGCCCUGUACGCGAAAAUCUUAGUCAUGAAAUCGAGUAGGACGGAGCACGAGAAACUUUGUCUGAAUAUGGGGGACCAUCCUCCAAGGCUAAAUACUACUGACUGACCGAUAGUGAACUAGUACCGUGAGGGAAAGGCGAAAAGAACCCCGGAGAGGGGAGUGAAAUAGAUCCUGAAACCGUAUGCGUACAAGCAGUGGGAGCCCACUUUGUUGGGUGACUGCGUACCUUUUGUAUAAUGGGUCAGCGACUUAUUUUCAGUGGCGAGCUUAACCGAAUAGGGAGGCGUAGCGAAAGCGAGUCUUAAUAGGGCGUCUAGUCGCUGGGAAUAGACCCGAAACCGGGCGAUCUAUCCAUGGGCAGGUUGAAGGUUGGGUAACACUAACUGGAGGACCGAACCGACUACCGUUGAAAAGUUAGCGGAUGACCUGUGGAUCGGAGUGAAAGGCUAAUCAAGCUCGGAGAUAGCUGGUUCUCCUCGAAAGCUAUUUAGGUAGCGCCUCAUGUAUCACUGUAGGGGGUAGAGCACUGUUUCGGCUAGGGGUCAUCCCGACUUACCAAACCGAUGCAAACUCCGAAUACCUACAAGUGCCGAGCAUGGGAGACACACGGCGGGUGCUAACGUCCGUCGUGAAAAGGGAAACAACCCAGACCGUCAGCUAAGGUCCCAAAGUUAUGGUUAAGUGGGAAACGAUGUGGGAAGGCUUAGACAGCUAGGAGGUUGGCUUAGAAGCAGCCACCCUUUAAAGAAAGCGUAAUAGCUCACUAGUCGAGUCGGCCUGCGCGGAAGAUGUAACGGGGCUCAAACCAUACACCGAAGCUACGGGUAUCACGUAAGUGAUGCGGUAGAGGAGCGUUCUGUAAGCCUGUGAAGGUGAGUUGAGAAGCUUGCUGGAGGUAUCAGAAGUGCGAAUGCUGACAUGAGUAACGACAUGGGUGUGAAAAACACCCACGCCGAAAGACCAAGGUUUCCUGCGCAACGUUAAUCGACGCAGGGUUAGUCGGUCCCUAAGGCGAGGCUGAAAAGCGUAGUCGAUGGAAAACAGGUUAAUAUUCCUGUACUUCUGGUUAUUGCGAUGGAGGGACGGAGAAGGCUAGGCCAGCUUGGCGUUGGUUGUCCAAGUUUAAGGUGGUAGGCUGGAAUCUUAGGUAAAUCCGGGAUUCUAAGGCCGAGAGCUGAUGACGAGCUAACUUUUAGUUAGCGAAGUGGUUGAUGCCAUGCUUCCAAGAAAAGCUUCUAAGCUUCAGGUAACCAGGAACCGUACCCCAAACCGACACAGGUGGUUGGGUAGAGAAUACCAAGGCGCUUGAGAGAACUCGGGUGAAGGAACUAGGCAAAAUGGCACCGUAACUUCGGGAGAAGGUGCGCCGGUGAGGGUGAAGGACUUGCUCCGUAAGCCCAUGCCGGUCGAAGAUACCAGGCCGCUGCGACUGUUUAUUAAAAACACAGCACUCUGCAAACACGAAAGUGGACGUAUAGGGUGUGACGCCUGCCCGGUGCCGGAAGGUUAAUUGAUGGGGUUAGCUAACGCGAAGCUCUUGAUCGAAGCCCCGGUAAACGGCGGCCGUAACUAUAACGGUCCUAAGGUAGCGAAAUUCCUUGUCGGGUAAGUUCCGACCUGCACGAAUGGCGUAACGAUGGCGGCGCUGUCUCCACCCGAGACUCAGUGAAAUUGAAAUCGCUGUGAAGAUGCAGUGUAUCCGCGGCUAGACGGAAAGACCCCGUGAACCUUUACUAUAGCUUUGCACUGGACUUUGAAUUUGCUUGUGUAGGAUAGGUGGGAGGCUUUGAAGCGUGGACGCCAGUCUGCGUGGAGCCAACCUUGAAAUACCACCCUGGCAACUUUGAGGUUCUAACUCAGGUCCGUUAUCCGGAUCGAGGACAGUGUAUGGUGGGUAGUUUGACUGGGGCGGUCUCCUCCUAAAGAGUAACGGAGGAGUACGAAGGUGCGCUCAGACCGGUCGGAAAUCGGUCGUAGAGUAUAAAGGCAAAAGCGCGCUUGACUGCGAGACAGACACGUCGAGCAGGUACGAAAGUAGGUCUUAGUGAUCCGGUGGUUCUGUAUGGAAGGGCCAUCGCUCAACGGAUAAAAGGUACUCCGGGGAUAACAGGCUGAUACCGCCCAAGAGUUCAUAUCGACGGCGGUGUUUGGCACCUCGAUGUCGGCUCAUCACAUCCUGGGGCUGAAGCCGGUCCCAAGGGUAUGGCUGUUCGCCAUUUAAAGUGGUACGCGAGCUGGGUUUAGAACGUCGUGAGACAGUUCGGUCCCUAUCUGCCGUGGACGUUUGAGAUUUGAGAGGGGCUGCUCCUAGUACGAGAGGACCGGAGUGGACGAACCUCUGGUGUUCCGGUUGUCACGCCAGUGGCAUUGCCGGGUAGCUAUGUUCGGAAUAGAUAACCGCUGAAAGCAUCUAAGCGGGAAACUAGCCUCAAGAUGAGAUCUCACUGGAACCUAGUUCCCUGAAGGGCCGUCGAAGACUACGACGUUGAUAGGUUGGGUGUGUAAGCGCUGUGAGGCGUUGAGCUAACCAAUACUAAUUGCCCGUGAGGCUUGACCAU
rnacentral:rRNA from 1 species